rnacentral:rRNA from 1 species
AACGCCAAUACCGUUCGUGAUGACGGUACCAUUUGUAAGCUCCGGCUAACUCCGUGCCAGCAGCCGCGGUAAUACGGGGGGAGCAAGCGUUGUUCGGAUUUACUGGGCGUAAAGGGCGCGUAGGCGGCCAGCGCAAGUCAGUUGUGAAAUCUCCGGGCUUAACUCGGAAAGGUCAACUGAUACUGCGCGGCUAGAGUGCGGAAGGGGCAACUGGAAUUCUCGGUGUAGCGGUGAAAUGCGUAGAUAUCGAGAGGAACACCUGCGGCGAAGGCGGGUUGCUGGGCCGACACUGACGCUGAGGCGCGAAAGCCAGGGGAGCGAACGGGAUUAGAUACCCCGGUAGUCCUGGCCUUAAACGAUGGAUGCUUGGUGUCUGGGGUUUU